GGGCGGGGGCCGGGGCGCUGCGGGGGCCCGCACUUCUUGGGAGUCGCCGGGCUGCGAUCGCGGACUACGAUUUUGAUCCGGCCGUAAAAGAAGAACAGAACCGACUUGCAGGGCAGAGGGAGAACAGAGCCAGCCAGUGGGAAGAGGGCUCUCCAGAGCUUGGCACGGAGCUCACAGCAGAUUGGCAACCUGAAGGCGGGCGUGAGUCAGCAUCCCUCAGUAGCAGGGAGUGAGUGGGAGCAGGGAAGGAGCCAUACAGAUUCCAGAUGCACCUCAGAUCCUGGUCGGUGUGCUUAGAAUUCAUCCCAAUUAUGUUUACAUGUCAUUCAUUCACUCACUCAUUUUUAUUUUUAUUUUAUUUUGAUUUUUUUCUCUGUUUUAAUACACCAUUUCUGGCACCAUAUUUUUAUUU